rnacentral:rRNA from 1 species
CAGAGGGGGCAAGCGUUGUUCGGAAUUACUGGGCGUAAAGGGCGCGUAGGCGGCCUGCUAAGUCGAACGUGAAAUCCUUGGGCUCAACCCAGGAACUGCGUCCGAUACUGGUUGGCUUGAAUCCGGGAGAGGGAUGCGGAAUUCCAGGUGUAGCGGUGAAAUGCGUAGAUAUCUGGAGGAACACCGGUGGCGAAGGCGGCAUCCUGGACCGGCAUUGACGCUGAGGCGCGAAAGCCAGGGGAGCAAACGGGAUUAGAUACCCCGGUAGUCCUGGCCCUAAACGAUGAAUGCUUGGUGUGGCGGGUAUCGAUCCCUGCCGUGCCGAAGCUAACGCAUUAAGCAUUCCGCCUGGGGAGUACGGUCGCAAGGCUG